UUCGCUGGUCCGAAACGUAAAAGAAAUGCGAUGCUUUCGCCGGGGCCAAAGAUAAAGCCGUCGACGGAAAUACUUAGCCUUUAACCUUAGACCGAUAGCCACGCAAAUAUUAUCAACCUAUAAACGUAGUUAUUUAUAACGUUUAAAAACAACGCCACGAAACGCCCGUUGUCAAAAACGUUGUUCUCUUUGUUUUCAAGAUCCUACGCAGUGGAUAGAAACAAAAACUAAUCGUUUAACAGCUUGAUAAGGGCGAAUCUCAAUGAGGUUGCUUUAGGUGAACUUAACAAUGGAUCAAACCAAGACAAAUACAUAAAUUUAAUGGAAUUUGAAGCAGAACUACUCACGAUGUUUUCUUGGUUCUUUGAGCAGUGAUUUAAAUUUUUUUAUUCCUAUUUGUAAAAACACAGAAAAACACAUUUAUUGGAAAAUAUAAUUGCUUCUGUGAAAAUUUUGACUCGUCCAUCCGGAUAAUUCUUUUCAAAAAAGUCUAUGCGUAAUAGUUCAUCACGAGGGAGAAGAGAUUGUAAUGUAGUUAUGUGGAAAUGCACGAAAAUAUGCUGAUUUGCAGGAUUUGCUUAUGCGAUGAGGAUAUUGUCCAUUAAAUCUUUCGCAAGUUCUUGGAGCAAUUGUUAGACGCUCACCAUAA